UGAUAGUCAGCAGCGAGCGCCUCCGCCUCU
rnacentral:sRNA from 1 species